GUGGGAGCAAGGCUUGCCCGCGAUGAACGAUAACGCGGUUCACUGUUAAACCGUGGCGUGGCUAUCGCGGGCAAGCCUUGCUCCCAC
rnacentral:misc_RNA from 1 species